rnacentral:rRNA from 1 species
GAUGAACGCUGGCGGCGUGCCUAAUACAUGCAAGUCGAGCGAACAGACGAGGAGCUUGCUCCUCUGACGUUAGCGGCGGACGGGUGAGUAACACGUGGAUAACCUACCUAUAAGACUGGGAUAACUUCGGGAAACCGGAGCUAAUACCGGAUAAUAUAUUGAACCGCAUGGUUCAAUAGUGAAAGACGGUUUUGCUGUCACUUAUAGAUGGAUCCGCGCCGCAUUAGCUAGUUGGUAAGGUAACGGCUUACCAAGGCAACAAUGCGUAGCCGACCUGAGAGGGUGAUCGGCCACACUGGAACUGAGACACGGUCCAGACUCCUACGGGGGGCAGCAGUAGGGAAUCUUCCGCAAUGGGCGAAGGCCUGACGGGGCAACGCCGGGGGAGUGAUGAAGGUCUUCGGAUCGUAAAACUCUGUUAUUAGGGAAGAACAAAUGUGUAAGUAACUAUGCACGUCUUGACGGUACCUAAUCAGAAAGCCACGGCUAACUACGUG